UGGCUCCCCAAACUCCUUGCUCCGAUCACACCACGCUAGUUCCUUCUCCGCAAUGAGUUUGGAUCUGAGUACCUCCCCACCGAUUUCUAGAACGCAAACAGAAUAUUUGAACUAUUCUGAUUGAUCCAUGAAAUCAAUGGGUUCGGCAAGAGCCAGAACAUACGUGGGUAAAGCAGCGUUUUGAAAAUUCAACAUUUUGGCUUUGAUACUCUGAUUGGUUAGAGAUGAUCCAAUCACUGAUGACUUUGUUUUGUACAACACCCCUCAUUUUGAUGUCACCACAAACGACUUUGCCGAAUGAAGUGUGUAGCAAACAGAGCAGAGGAAGAAUUCAGUUUGAGUUGUCAGGCCAUGGUUUUGAAGGUGAAUUCCUAGGAUUUUACAUGGUCUGUAUCCAGACCGCUCAUGUCCAAUCACAGGCUGAUCUUCUCUUCCUGACACAUGAGUCCAGCAUCAUCCCCACCACCCACCCACAUCUGACUGAGACCAGGGUUGUGAUUACGGGCACGAAAUGAAGGAAAAUGGUCCGAAACGGAGUGAUGCGGCAAGGAAUGUCUAUCCUUGCCCUUACAGGAAGCCAGUGCAACGGUUCCCAACUGUAAUGAAACCUGUUCGAUCACCAUGCACCAUAAAAUAAUUCUGGCAAUGGAUACAGAGAACAUCAACACGCCAGAGGAUAUACCCAUUGGGGCUCUGCAGGGAGUUUUGUCACACCUGCGCCAGGCUGCCCAUCAUUACGCACACCGGUCACCUUCGUUACGCGCAUCAGCGCUUCAUUGGACUCACCUGCACUCUGUCACGUCUGCUCGCCCCUCAAUGGCGCUCGAGGGCGCCAGGCUGCCUAUCAUUACGCACAUCGGUCCCAUUCGUUACGCGCAUCAGCGCUUUAUUGAACUCACCUGUACUCCUUCACGUUUUGAUUGCCUUCUCUAUAUUUGUCUGUUCCUCUAUUUCAUCCCCAUGUCAGCAUUAUUGUUGUUUAUGUUUUCCCUGUCCACACGCUGUCUGUGGUCUGUUUUGUGCCCGUUGUUUAUUAAGUGUUCACUCCCUGUACUGGCUUCUCGUCUCCCAGCAUCUGUCCUCACAAGUUUACCUCCUAUUUGGAUUUCUUUAUUCUGUUUUGCCACUAAAAUCAUAAUAAACACUG
ensembl:lncRNA